rfam:Oryza rufipogon genomic scaffold, chr01
AAAAAGACAAACCCUGGGUUUACAUAUCCAACGUUUGACUGUCCGUCUUAUAUAAAUUUUUUUUAUAAUUAGUAUUUUUAUUGUUGUUAGAUGAUAAAACAUGAUUAAUACUUUAUGCGUGGCGUGACUUGUCUUUUUAAUUUAUUUUUUUUAAAUAAGAUGGACGGUCAAACGUUGGAUAUGAAAACUCAGGGUUUGUCUUUUC